rnacentral:rRNA from 1 species
CACAUGCAAGUCGAACGAAGAUGCCGGAGUGCUUGCACUUUGGCAGACUGAGUGGCGGACGGGUGAGUAACGCGUGGGUAACCUGCCUUAUACGAGGGGGAUAACAGUUGGAAACGACUGCUAAUACCGCAUAAGCGCACGGUAUCGCAUGAUACAGUGUAGAAAAACUCCGGUGGUAUAAGAUGGACCCGCGUCUGAUUAGCUAGUUGGUGAGGUAACGGCCCACCAAGGCGACGAUCAGUAGCCGGCCUGAGAGGUUGAACGGCCACAUUGGGACUGAGACACGGCCCAGACUCCUACGGGAGGCAGCAGUGGGGAAUAUUGCACAAUGGGGGAAACCCUGAUGCAGCGACGCCGCGUGGAGGAAGAAGGUCUUCGGAUUGUAAACUCCUGUUGUUGAGGAAGAUAAUGACGGUACUCAACAAGGAAGUGACGGCUAACUACGUG